rnacentral:rRNA from 1 species
CGGGGAAUAUUGGGCAAUGGGGGCAACCCUGACUCAGCGACGCCGCGUGGGGGAAGACGGCCUUCGGGUUGUAAACCUCUUUUGUACGGGAAGAAGGAAGUGACGGUACUGUACGAAUAAGUCCCGGCUAACUACGUGCCAGCAGCCGCGGUAAUACGUAGGGGACGAGCGUUGUCCGGAAUUACUGGGCGUAAAGGGCGCGCAGGCUGUGCUGCAAGUCAGCUGUUAAAUGUCUGGGCUUAACCCGGGCAUGCGGUUGAGACUGCAGUGCUGGAGUGCUGUAGAGGCAAGUGGAAUUCGCAGUGUAGCGGUGAAAUGCGUAGAUAUUGGGAAGAACACCGGUGGCGAAGGCGACUUGCUGGGCAGCAACUGACGCGGAGGCGCGAAAGCCAGGGGAGCAAACG